rnacentral:tRNA from 1 species
GGGGUUGUGGCUCAGUGGUCGAGUACUCACCUAGCAUGUGAGAGGCACUGGGUUCAAUCCUCAGCACCACA